rnacentral:lncRNA from 1 species
GUGGCAUUCCCAUUGCAUAGGAAAAUGAGCUAAGGUGAAGAAGAAAGAAAGAGAUGUGUCACUAUAGUGGAAAUGCUAUGUAACAGCCUGAAACAGUGAUGGAGCACCUGGUGGGAAGGGAGGGCCAACCCAGGGGAGCUCAGGUGCAUGCAAUGAGUGACGCAUGUCAUGCAAUGCACCUGAGUGAUUGGAAGGGGUGGAGCCAGGAUCCACCCCUUCCCAGCCCUCAUUUAAGGGUUGGCAGUGGAGGUGAGGACAUCUUUUGCUGGAGAUCUCUGCCUACCUGAGGCCUUCCAAAGGAACCACUACUGGGAGAAUUUUGUUCUGGCCUCGCUAACGCCUCUGAGAGCUUCAACCUGACUGGGCCCACUGCUGGAUAAUGCCAUAUUACACAUGUAUUUCAAGUGUUUGGAAAAGACUUGAGUGCAUGAGCAGGUGGAGAGUAGAAGCAAGGACAGAAAAAUCAAGAAGGAUUUACCAGAGCACAGGAGUGGGACGUGCAUGUAGAUAUCCUUUAAAUGGCAUAAGCAGCCUCCUCCAGACAUAUCUAAUGAUAAGAAAGUGUACCAAGCUCCCAAACCAUGGUCCAAAUUCACAGCUACGUGUGGCAGGCUUUCAAUCACAUCUACGUAGAACCAUAGAAUCAAUAAGGUUGGAAAAGACCUCCAAGAUCAUCCAGUCCAACCAUCCACCUCUCACCAAUUCCACACUAAACCACGUCCCUCGGUACAACAUCUAAAUG